UACGUAGGUGGCAAGCGUUGUCCGGAUUUACUGGGCGUAAAGAGCGCGCAGGCGGUUAUUCAAGUCGAAUGUGAAAGCCCCCGGCUUAACUGGGGAGGGUCAUUCGAUACUGUUUAACUUGAAGGCAGGAGAGGGUAGUGGAAUUCCCGGUGUAGUGGUGAAAUGCGUAGAUAUCGAGAGGAACACCGGUGGCGAAGGCGGCCUUCUGGACAGUGACUGACGCUGAGACGCGAAAGCGUGGGGGAGCAAACAGG
rnacentral:rRNA from 1 species